rnacentral:rRNA from 1 species
GAUCAUGGCUCAGGGUGAACGCUGGCGGCGUGCUUAACACAUGCAAGUCGAACGAAGCACUUUAUUUGAUUUCCUUCGGGAUUGAUUAUUUUGUGACUGAGUGGCGGACGGGUGAGUAACGCGUGGGUAACCUGCCUUGUACAGGGGGAUAACAGUUGGAAACGGCUGCUAAUACCGCAUAAGCGCACAGCAUCGCAUGAUGCAGUGUGAAAAACUCCGGUGGUAUAAGAUGGACCCG